GUACUCGGGGGAUAACAGCCUGAUACCGCCCAAGAGUUCAUAUCGACGCCGGUGUUUGGCACCUCGAUGUCGGCUCAUCACAUCCUGGGCUGAAAGUAGGUCCCAAGGGUAUGGCUGUUCGCCAUUAAANGUGGUACGCGAGCUGGGUUUAGAACGUCGUGAGACAGUUCGGUCCCUAUCUGCCGUGGGCGUAGGAGAAUUGGUUGGGGCUGCUCCUAGUACGAGAGGACCGGAGUGGACGCACCACUGGUGUUCCGGUUGUGUCGCCAGACGCAUUGCCGGGUAGCUAAGUGCGGAAGAGAUAAGUGCUGAAAGCAUCUAAGCACGAAACUUGCCAAGAGAUGAGUUCUCCCAAUCUAAGAGAUAGUAAGGGUUGUUGUAGACUACGACGUAGAUAGGUCUGGUGUAUAAGUGUAGUGAUACAUUGAGCUAACAGAUACUAAUUGCCCGAGAGGCUUAACU
rnacentral:rRNA from 1 species